rnacentral:rRNA from 1 species
AACGAACGCUGGCGGCAGGCUUAACACAUGCAAGUCGAGCGCCCCGCAAGGGGAGCGGCAGACGGGUGAGUAACGCGUGGGAAUCUACCCAUCUCUACGGAAUAACUCAGGGAAACUUGUGCUAAUACCGUAUACGCCCUUCGGGGGAAAGAUUUAUCGGAGAUGGAUGAGCCCGCGUUGGAUUAGCUAGUUGGUGGGGUAAUGGCCUACCAAGGCGACGAUCCAUAGCUGGUCUGAGAGGAUGAUCAGCCACACUGGGACUGAGACACGGCCCAGACUCCUACGGGAGGCAGCAGUGGGGAAUAUUGGACAAUGGGCGCAAGCCUGAUCCAGCCAUGCCGCGUGAGUGAUGAAGGCCCUAGGGUUGUAAAGCUCUUUCACCGGUGAAGAUAAUGACGGUAACCGGAGAAGAAGCCCCGGCUAACUUCGUGCCAGCCGCCGCCGUAACAC